AGAUAAUUAUUAAAAUUUACUUGAAACUAUUUACUGCUACAUUUCAUUCUUAUGAGGCAAGGAAGGAGGAUUAUGCAAAAAUUUUCCAAGCAAAACUGGAAGGGAUAAGAACAAGCUGUUUGGUGGGACCAUCAGGUUGCAGGAAAACAAGUUCAGACCUCCCACUGAUUCUGCAUCAUGGUUGGCUGUUCUGUCAUCUCAUCACUUGGCCAUUCCAACUCCAGACAGAUCGUCCAUAGAUGCACCUCUCAGGUCCUAACUCAUCUGCCACUGGGCCCCUGGGUUUGGUGGCUUUGCUUAUUCCUAUGAGGCC